GUGCAGACCUACCGCGAGACGGAGCCUGGAGUGGUUCCGCUCUCGCUUCUGGUGUCUGCCAGAGGGACUGAGGGUCGUUUGAGGCCCUGCCGUGGCUCCACACGGCAGGGUUAUAGGUAAACCCCCAACAAGU